rnacentral:rRNA from 1 species
GACAGAGGUUGCAAACGUUGUUCGGAAUUACUGGGCAUAAAGCGCACGUAGGUGGUCCGCUAAGUCGAUUGUGAAAUUCCCCGGCUCAACCGGGGAACGGCACUCGAUACUGGCGGGCUUGAGGUCCGGAGGGGUGAGUGGAACUCCUGGUGGAGCGGUGAAAUGCGUAGAUAUCAGGAGGAACACCGGUGGCGAAAGCGGCUCACUGGCCGGAAUCUGACACUGAGGUGCGAAAGCCAGGGUAGCAAACGGG